GAUGAAAUGGCUGAGAAUAGGUAAUAAAUUGUAAAUUUAUUAAGGAAAAAUAAUUAUGUUUUCUUUUAUCA
rnacentral:tRNA from 1 species